AGAGUUUGAUUAUGGCUCAGAACGAACGCUUGCUGCAUGCUUUAUACAUGCAAGUCGAACGGAGGCCCUAGCUUGCUAGGUGUCCUUAGUGGCGCACGGGUGAGUAACACGUGGGAACAUACCUUAUAGUACGGAAUAACUGCGGGAAACUGUAGCUAAUACCGUAUACUCCAGUAAUGGGAAAGAUUUAUCGCUAUGAGAUUGGCCCGCGCAAGAUUAGCUUGUUGGUGAGGUAAUGGCUCACCAAGGCUCCGAUCUUUAGCUGGUUUGAGAGGACGAUCAGCCACACUGGGACUGAGACACGGCCCAGACUCCUACGGGAGGCAGCAGUAGGGAAUAUUGGACAAUGGGGGCAACCCUGAUCCAGCAAUGCAGCGUGAGUGACGAAGGCCUUAGGGUUGUAAAACUCUUUCAUCGGUGAGGAUAAUGACAGUAGCCGAAGAAGAAGGACCGGCUAAUUCCGUGCCAGCAGCCGCGGUAAUACGGAAGGUCCUAGCGUUGUUCGGAAUUACUGGGCGUAAAGCGCAUGUAGGCGGAACAGAAAGUUAGAAGUGAAAUCCCUGGGCUCAACCUAGGAAUUGCUUUUAAAACUUCUGUUCUGGAAUUCAGGAGAGGAAAAUGGAAUUUCCAGUGUAGAGGUGAAAUUCGUAGAUAUUGGAAGGAACACCAGUGGCGAAGGCGAUUUUCUGGACUGAUAUUGACGCUGAGAUGCGAAGGCAUGGGUAGCAAACGGGAUUAGAUACCCCGGUAGUCCAUGCAGUAAACGAUGGGUGCUAGUCGUCGGACUUUUGUUCGGUGUCGUAGCUAACGCGUUAAGCACCCCGCCUGGGGAGUACGGUCGCAAGAUUAAAAC
rnacentral:rRNA from 1 species